UCUGAGACGUAUAAAAGGUGUGCAGUCUUAGAGCAUCCCAAAAGCCUCAGCAUCUCCACGUUCCAGCCACUGGUGAACUAAGUGCACAUCCAGACCAGAAUGUAUCAUCCGAAGCAGAAGCUGUGCUGCCCGCUACCAAAGUAUUGCUGCCCUCCACCCCAGCCAUGCUGCCCCCCACCAAA